rnacentral:rRNA from 1 species
CCUACGGGUGGCAGCAGUGAGGAAUAUUGCACAAUGGGCGCAAGCCUGAUGCAGCGACGCCGCGUGGGUGACGAAGGUCUUCGGAUCGUAAAGCCCUUUUCUGCGUGACGAGCAAGGACGGUAGCGCAGGAAUAAGUCUCGGCUAACUACGUGCCAGCAGCCGCGGUAAAACGUAGGAGACAAACGUUAUCCGGAGUUACUGGGCGUAAAGGGCGUGCAGGUGGUCUGUUAAGUCUGGCGUGAAAGCUCCCGGCUAAACCGGGAGAGGUCGUUGGAUACUGGCGGACUAGAGGACGGUAGAGGCGGGUGGAAUUCCGGGUGUAGUGGUGAAAUGCGUAGAGAUCCGGAGGAACACCAGUGGCGAAGGCGACCCGCUGGGCCGUACCUGACACUGAGACGCGACAGCAUGGGGAGCGAACGGGAUUAGAUACCCUAGUAGU